ACGGAAGGCAGCAGUGGGGAAUAUUGGGCAAUGGGCGCAAGCCUGACCCAGCAACGCCGCGUGAAGGAAGAAGGCUUUCGGGUUGUAAACUUCUUUUAUCAGGGACGAAGAAAGUGACGGUACCUGAUGAAUAAGCCACGGCUAACUACGUGCCAGCAGCCGCGGUAAUACGUAGGUGGCAAGCGUUGUCCGGAUUUACUGGGUGUAAAGGGCGCGUAGGCGGGGUAGCAAGUCAGGUGUGAAAUCUAUGGGCUUAACCCAUAAACUGCACUUGAAACUGUUAUUCUUGAGUGUCGGAGAGGUAGAUGGAAUUCCUAGUGUAGCGGUGAAAUGCGUAGAUAUUAGGAGGAACACCAGUGGCGAAGGCGAUCUACUGGACGAUAACUGACGCUGAGGCGCGAAAGCGUGGGGGGCAAACAGGAUUAGAUACCCUGGUA
rnacentral:rRNA from 1 species